CCUACGGGAGGCAGCAGUAGGGAAUCUUCCACAAUGGGCGAAAGCCUGAUGGAGCAACGCCGCGUGGGUGAAGAAGGUCUUCGGAUCGUAAAACCCUGUUGUUAGAGAAGAAAGUGCGUGAGAGUAACUGUUCACGUUUCGACGGUAUCUAACCAGAAAGCCACGGCUAACUACGUGCCAGCAGCCGCGGUAAUACGUAGGUGGCAAGCGUUAUCCGGAUUUAUUGGGCGUAAAGGGAACGCAGGCGGUCUUUUAAGUCUGAUGUGAAAGCCUUCGGCUUAACCGGAGUAGUGCAUUGGAAACUGGGAGACUUGAGUGCAGAAGAGGAGAGUGGAACUCCAUGUGUAGCGGUGAAAUGCGAAGAUAUAUGGAAGAACACCAGUGGCGAAAGCGGCUCUCUGGGCUGUAACUGACGCUGAGGUUCGAAAGCGUGGGUAGCAAACAGGAUUAGAUACCCGAGUAGUC
rnacentral:rRNA from 1 species